rnacentral:rRNA from 1 species
AAUCAACGCUGGCGGCGCGCUUAACACAUGCAAGUCGCACGAGAAAAGGGCAACCUGAGUAAAGUGGCGUACGGGUGAGUAACACGUGGAUCAUACACCUUUUAGUGGGGAAUAACUCUGGGAAACCCGGAGCUAAUACCGCAUAAGCCCGAGAGGGGAAAGCAGCAAUGCGCUGAAAGAGUAGUCCGCGGCUGAUUAGCUAGUUGGUGAGGUAAUGGCUCACCAAGGCUUUGAUCGGUAGCCGGCCUGAGAGGGCUCACGGCCACACUG